UGCCUGGGAAACUCUGUGUGGAAAUAGGUGU
rnacentral:piRNA from 1 species